CUUGAAAUUCAAACAAGAGAAACUCAAAUAUUGGUUCUAAGCCCCACUUGAGAGUUGGCAGUUCAAAUUCAGAAAGUCAUUCUGGCUCUUGGUGAUUACAUGAAUGUUCAAUGCCAUGCGUGUAUCGGCGGCACUAAUGUUGGAGAGGAUGUUCGAAAAUUGGACUAUGGUCAGCACAUUGUUUCUGGAACCCCUGGACGUGUAUUUGAUAUGAUUCGCCGACGGACACUAAGGACACGUUCAAUUAAAAUGUUGGUCCUGGAUGAAGCCGAUGAAAUGUUAAAUAAAGGGUUCAAGGAGCAAAUUUACAAUGUCUACCGUUACCUUCCUCCAGCAACCCAAGUGGUUCUUCUUUCAGCCACAUUUCAUGACAGAUCCCAUUCGCAUUUUAGUCAAACGUGAUGAGUUGACACUCGAAGGAAUCUAACAGUUCUUUGUCGCAGCCGAAAGAGAAGAAUGGAGGUUUGACACGUUGUGCCAUCUUUACGAUACACUGACAAUCCCGCAGGCGGUUAUCUUUUGUAAUACUAAACGCAAGGUUAGUCGCGAUUGAAUUUCUUCUAUUGUUGAUUUUAUGUCGACUGGUUGACGGAGAAAAUGCGUGAAGCGAAUUUUACCGUUUAUUGAGAAGAGACGUUUUAAAAAAGAACGUGAUACUAAAAUACUAUUAUGAAAGAAUUCCGUAAUGGUCAGAGCCGAGUUCUUAUUACAACUGACGUUUGGGCUCGUGGUAUUGAUGUGCAACAAGUUUCGUUGGUCCCUAACAAACUGGCUGUCCUCAUUUAUCUAUAAUCCAUCUCGGAAAAGGAAACAAAUAAGUUGAUGCGUCAUGUUUUUAUUUUGCUGGAUUUUUCUUUCUGUAUCUCCAAAGAUUUCGACUUAUUAUAUGAAACUUGCGGCCGUGUAAUUGUCUUUUGCCAUUGUUGAAGUCUAUAAAUUUUACCUUAACUCGUAUAUCUGAAGUAAUAUAGGAACCUUUUUCCGUUUUGCG